CUCGAAGAUCAGAGGUUUCCGUGCUGCUUACGUCUCCUCGAACUGUGUAUCUGGAGAGGGACAAUAGUAAAAGCACUACCACUGGUGGACAUUGGAGAGGAGAUGAAGCAGAAGCAAUUCUGCUCCUCAGAAUUCCAGGGAUUUAAGUUCUCCUAACGCUCUGGGCCUCUCACCUGGCUGUCCCCCAUCCCGUCUAUAUCUGUAAGUUGAAGGAGAACAUGGUGAACAGAAGAGUUGAUUUGUCCACACUGAUUCAACCCCCACAGCUUUCGUG